rnacentral:rRNA from 1 species
AUNCCUGUGGGACCACCUGUGGCGAAGGCGUCUUACCAGAACGGGUUCGACGGUGAGGGACGAAAGCUGGGGGCACGAACCGGAUUAGAUACCCGGGUAGUCCCAGCCGUAAACGAUGCUCGCUAGGUGUCAGGCAUGGCGCGACCGUGUCUGGUGCCGCAGGGAAGCCGUGAAGCGAGCCACCUGGGAAGUACGGCCGCAAGGCUGAAACUUAAAGGAAUUGGCGGGGGAGCACAACAGCGGGUGGAGCCUGCGGUUUAAUUGGACUCAACGCCGGACAACUCACCGGGGGCGACAGCAAUAUGUAGGCCAAGCUGAAGACUUUGCCUGAAUCGCUGAGAGGAGGUGCAUGGCCGUCGCCAGUUCGUACUGUGAAGCAUCCUGUUAAGUCAGGCAACGAGCGAGACCCGUGCCCACUGUUACCAGCAUGUCCUCCGGGACGAUGGGUACUCUGUGGGGACCGCCGAUGUUAAAUCGGAGGAAGGUGCGGGCCACGGUAGGUCAGUAUGCCCCGAAUCUCCCGGGCUACACGCGGGCUACAAUGGAUGGGACAAUGGGUCCCUCCCCUGAAAAGGGCCGGUAAUCUCACAAACCCAUUCGUAGUUCGGAUCGAGGGCUGUAACUCGCCCUCGUGAAGCUGGAAUCCGUAGUGAUCGCGU